rnacentral:rRNA from 1 species
GCGUAACGCGUGGGAAUCUGCCCUUGGGUUCGGGAUAACAGUUGGAAACGACUGCUAAUACCGGAUGAUGACUUCGGUCCAAAGAUUUAUCGCCCAGGGAUGAGCCCGCGUCGGAUUAGCUAGUUGGUGGGGUAAAAGCUCACCAAGGCGACGAUCCGUAGCUGGUCUGAGAGGAUGAUCAGCCACACUGGGACUGAGACACGGCCCAGACUCCUACGGGAGGCAGCAGUGGGGAAUAUUGGACAAUGGGCGAAAGCCUGAUCCAGCAAUGCCGCGUGAGUGAUGAAGGCCUUAGGGUUGUAA